rnacentral:rRNA from 1 species
UACGGGGGGGGCAAGCGUUGUUCGGAAUUACUGGGCGUAAAGGGCUCGUAGGUGGCCAACUAAGUCGGACGUGAAAUCCCUCAGCUUAACUGGGGAACUGCGUCCGAUACUGGAUGGCUUGAGUUUGGGAGAGGGAUGCGGAAUUCCAGGUGUAGCGGUGAAAUGCGUAGAUAUCUGGAGGAAUACCGAUGGCGAAGGCAGCCCCCUGGGAUAACACUGACGCUCAUGCACGAAAGCGUGGGGAGCAAACAGG